ensembl:lncRNA
UAAUUAGCUGAUUAGAGUGUGGCACCAGGUGUCUUCAAUAUUGAACCUUUUCACAAUAUUCAAAUUUUUCUGAGAGACAAAGGAAUAGCAGGCAUCUCCUAAUCUAACUUUCUCUCUCCUUUCUCUCCUAUCACUUUCCUUUUUUACCAUCUUUUUAACUCCUCUCUUCUCACUCAGUUUACUCUUUCACCUAUCUUUCCCCCCCCCAUUAAUUUCCCUAAACAUUUUCUUUCUCUGUCUGCCACCUAUUGACAAUCAGUUUCUCAAUCAUCACACUCAUCUGGUCUUCUCCUUCACAUGCUCAUCUGUUUGCAUAUCAUUAUUUUUUGCAAAUCCAACACUCUCCUACCUCCAAUUCUUCAUAUUCAGUCCCCUUAACUUUCUCCAUAUUUUGUUUUAUUAUAGACUUACAUUAUAUUUUUUAUAUUAUUUGCCAUCAAUCUACAGAUAAUACUCCAUAAUAACAAAGCAAGAAUAUUUUUGUAAUUGGUGUGGAAAUAUUGAAAUACAAAACUGCCCCAAGUUUGUCCUGAGCAAGUGAAAUGCGUGCUCAACUGGGUUGAGAUCAUGUGAUUGACUUUGCCAUUGCAGAAUAUUCCACUUUUUUCGCUUUAAAAAACUCCUGGGUUGCUUUUUCAGUAUGUUUUGGGUCACUGUCCAUCUGUUAAAUUAAGCACCGUUCAAUCAUCUUUGCUGAAUUUGGCUGACAAUAUAGCAGACAAUACAUCCCUAUAUCCCAACACACCUCAGAAUUCACCCAGCUGCUUCUGUCUUCUGUCACAUUUUGACCCAGUGCCAUUGGAAGCCAUACAUACCCAUCCCAUCACACUGCCUCCACUGUGUUUUACAGCUUCGGAUCAAGAGCCGUUCCAAGCCUUCUCCAUACCUUUUUCUUCCCAUCAUUCUUGUACAGGUUGAUCUUUGUUUCAUCUGUCCAAAGUAUGCUGAUCCAGAACUGGGCUGCCUUUUCCAGAACUGGCCUUUAUAUUCUUCAGACCUGCUGCUUCCUCUGCUGCGCCUACUAGCUCCUGGCCUCACCACCCAGCCUUCACCGUCAGCUCUCCCCCAGCUUCGGACCUGCCUACACUGUUUUCUCAUACAACCCUGGCUCUCCAUUAAAACCUUUAUUUUUGAAUCUA